rnacentral:rRNA from 1 species
AUUGAACGCUGGCGGAAUGCUUUACACAUGCAAGUCGAACGGCAGCACGGGUGCUUGCACCUGGUGGCGAGUGGCGAACGGGUGAGUAAUGUAUCGGAACGUAUCCAAUAAUGGGGGAUAACUAAUCGAAAGGUUGGCUAAUACCGCAUACGCCCUACGGGGGAAAGCAGGGGAUCUUCGGACCUUGCGUUAAUGGAGCGGCCGAUAUCUGAUUAGCUAGUUGGUGAGGUAAAGGCUCACCAAGGCGACGAUCAGUAGCUGGUCUGAGAGGACGACCAGCCACACUGGAACUGAGACACGGUCCAGACUCCUACGGGAGGCAGCAGUGGGGAAUUUUGGACAAUGGGGGCAACCCUGAUCCAGCCACUCCGCGUGAGUGAAGAAGGCCUUCGGGUUGUAAAGCUCUUUCGCAAGGGAAGAAACGAUACAGUCUGAUAAACUGUGUUAAUGACGGUACCUUGAUAAGAAGCACCGGCUAACUACGUGCCAGCCGCCGCCGUAA